ensembl:lncRNA
AGCAGAGCAGGCAGGCGCCAGAACCACCCCUCAGCCUUCAACAGAGCCAUGGGCAGCGUGAAAUCUGUCCUGAGGGACACAGAAAAAGGCAAAAAAAAAAUAGAGCGCUCAAAGUAUCAAUGGCAAGGAAAACGACUCUUUCAAGCAAAUCUUUAAUAGUUUAUUUUCUGGAUGAAAGAAGAUCCAAGACUGAUGCCAGGUGAAAUACCUGCCAACAGUGUUGUCUUUAAAGCCUUGAGAGCCUGAGAGGAAACUCAAAACCUGCUGCUGAUUGUAAUAAGUCCAGUAAACAAUUUCAUCCCUGAAGAAACACUUGCCAUGUGUGUUGCACAGAAGGCUCUGCACUGAGAGUCUGGUAAGGAAUGAGUUCCCUGGCUGGUGGUGGGCUGGCAGGGAAGCUGUGCUCCUGUGGUUGGUUGCCUGGGUAGCUCUAGAGGUGCCAGGCAGCUGUGUGAAGGUGUCUGAAGAAAGUGGAGCCCAGAGCACACUGCAGCUGUCUGGUGUUCCUGCCAGCAGUGACAUCCUCCAUGGUCUGUGUGUCUGUGUAAUGGACCACAGAAAGUGUACUGCACAAAAGUGUCUGAGGUGAGAAAGAAACCAGUAUCUGCCCUGGGAGAAAUCAGGGGACUGAAUUUCCUCUCCUUAUUCCCAAGAACAGAGAAAUUCUUUCCCAGCAACUCUGAUCUGAGUUUUGUGGGUCAUUUUGGACCCACCCAGGCCAUUAACAUCCAUGCCACUGUCCCUGGGAGCCGAGGUCUGGGUCAUGAAUGUGUGUAUGGGGCAGGAGGAGCAGCACUGAGCACAGCACACAAGCACACACACCAUCUCAUGCCUCCCCCAUGGCCCCUGCAUGUCUGGAGAGGAGGAAAUCCUGCCAGAGCUCACCGGAUGCAGAGGGGAAUGACCCAGGCCUCCAGCAGACAUGACCUGUUCCCAUCCCACCGAGGCCCAGGGCUCUGCCAUGCACAUGAUGCCAGUGGAAGAGCAGGGGCACUCAUGUGUGUGGGUAUGUAGGAUCAAGUUCUGAGAGCAUUUGCUCGGGGGGAGGAACCUGAGCCAUGCUGCUACUUUUCUGAGUCCUCCAAAAAGUUCUCCAGGUAAAGCAGGAAGGCAGGAUGUGACAGUUCCAAUGUCAGACUGCAGCAGGAGGAGGCAGCAGCUUUCAAAAAUAACCUUUGCAAGGUCAUCCCUGAGCAAGGCGGAGCACCAGUGGUGGGCUUGAGCACUUUUCUGCAAUUCAGCUCAAAAAGACUGGAACUUGCCUUUUCUUUAUGGGAAAGAAAGCAUGUGAUGACAGGUCCCAAGAGCUUUUAUUUUGAAGCCAAAUGCUUAGAGUGCAUGAAGACAGCAAAAGCAUUUUCCUUCAGGCGAUACAAAUCAAAUAAAUGGAGACAGUGCACUGCAAUUCAGUGCAGGCAGCAGCCAGCACAGGCUGCACUCACAGCUCAGCAUCGGGGGGCAUCGCUGACAGAAGGUGCCCAGGACUGGCACUGACAGUGGUCCCUCUGCCCCAGACAUCUCCUCCCCACGGGGAGCCGUGUCUCUGCCCUGGUGUGACUUUGCUGGAGCUUUUGCAGUGGGGUUUUUCUGCCUUCCUGUUAAAGCUGGGUGUGUGAAGCUGUCUGUAGAGUUUAGCUGAACUGUACAGAAGCAGCUUCAGGAGAAGCUGUCUGGUUUAAUAGACUCUCUGUUCAAUGUUGCAGAGCUGAGUGGUGUUCCAAUGGGAAUAAAUGUAUUUUUUUAUUGUCCCUAUGCAAGAGGGAUUACCAUUAGGAUGGGUAGCUGCCCCAUUCUUCCCACUCCCAUUUGCUGUGAUAAAAUAGUCCAGGCUGCCCUGUACAAGAAAGUACCUGCCAGGAAGGGACCUGUCCUCGUGGGCUGGGUUUUGCAGGGUACUCUGAGCACUGUGAAGAUGAAGAGCAAAGCCCAGAAGAUGAUGCUGGGACUCUGCAGAACUGCCCCAGGCAGGCACGUAUGCGUGCCCCUGGGUGGAGGUGGGCUGGAGAGGGACAGCUGCCUGGUGAGACCCAGGGAACUGCUAAGGGACCAGCAAGCAGCACUGAGACCAUGUGCACCAGUGCUUGUGGUGGGGAGAGGCUGUGUGCUGGCCCCAUCCUGGCAGAGGAGCCAUGCAGACAGGUUUUUGGGAGCGUGUGACUGUGCCUUGGGAGUAAGUGAAUGCUGGAUGCAGUUAGCUCACCUUUGCUGCAUUAACGUCUGCUAAACAAAUGAUUCUGUGUGAAAAUUGAAUGGCAAGCAGCACUAAAGGAAGAAAUGAGCCAGUGGAUUUUAUAGCAGCUCUAGAACCCUUAUCCUCUCAUUAAUGGGUUUUACAGCCAUCAAAAGCAAGCCAUGUUCCUGAAAAUAAAACAUUUUCUUCACAAACAGCCCUUUAGGUGUUGAAGGCUACUCAAGAGCUGGGGCUUGUUUCUAAUUAAAAUAAUAAUUCCCUUCACUUACGUGGUUUGUGGCUUGACUACCUGCCACAGCUGCAAGCUGGAGCAGUUCAGUGGAGACCAGCAGGUCUUUUUUAAUCCUCCUGGAUGAGGGGGACUGGAGCCCCACCCUCACACUGGUUUGGAGUACUUACCCCAAUCUAUCCCCAUUGAGCAGAAGGUGCUGUGCAGCACAGAUGCUCAGUCUUGCUUUCCCUGUCACUCUGGCGAGGAGUUAGUGCUUUGUUUAUCCACAUCACAAACAGUGCAGGGAAAAAGCUUUUAGUUAAAACCCCUGGAAACAAGUCAGAUGAAGCAAAGCUCCAUGGCAUUGGCAUAACACCAGUGAGAAAUCCAUUUAAUCUCACUGUGAUGAGUUUGCUGCAUCUUCCUGUUUGAUUUAUAGGGUGAAUGCAAUGUAGGCUUUGAAACAACCAGCAGCUCUGAUAUCCAUUUUGGCCAACUUCUGGAACUUUUUUCCAGGGGCUGUAAAGCAGCUGCCCACAUCUCCUGGUCCAGCUGCCUUUGAUGGAAGGGUUUGUCUCCUGCUUGCCCUUGCUCUGCUCACACAGGGCUGUGACUCUGCCACACUGCCUGGCACUGCCUGGCGGGGUAAUGGCAGAGGGCAGCAUGCUCUGGGGUGGCCCCUGCCCAAGCUGGCUUACAAGCCCAUCUCAGUGCCUUGGGACUGAGAGCAACAGGUUUGUUUGCUUCCUUAAUGUGUCUCCUUUCACACUGGGUUGGACUGUGUCCAGGCAGGCGUUUAUCUCCCAUCCCACUGGAAGCUGUGCAGGCUCAUGUCAGCUGCUGUCUGAGGAACUGCUCUCCAUUUCAAAAGAAACCAAGACAACUUUGUUCCCAAGCCUCUAUUAAUCAUCUUUUCCAACUUCUUGUCUUCUAGCAGCAGGCUCUGCUUGGCUGUUUGAGCUGGAGGAUAUGGGAACAUUGGCUGCCUUAUCCUUGGUGUAGCCCAUCUCUUUAAGUUCCCUCCUCCUGACCCUGGUCCCCUGCAGGAAGCCAUGGCAGGCAGGACGCACCAGCCUGGGCAGUUUGCUGCUGGUCAGAGUAGGCACCAUCUAUUUGCCCUGCUUGGAAUAAUGCUCCAGGCUGGGAGGUUUCCCACGUACGUGACCUUGCCAAAUGAACCAUGGCUGCAUGAGGACCUGGGGUCUCUCCAAAUCAUUCCCAAUAUGAAUUUAAAGGCUACAGCCAACCCCAAAUCUAUGCCUGGCUAUCUGCCACAGCUGCCAUGCCCCACCGUGGGUGUGAUCUGUUCCCACAUGGGGAUUGGGAAAGUCCUUUAAACAAGCAGAAGUGACCUUGUUAAGCAGGUCUGGCCUCCACACCUGCCAGUGCUCACUGCAAGAGCUCAGGUGGCACCUCUGCCAGGUCAUUGCAGAGGCAUUUGUGCCUCCAGACUUGGAAAAGCCCCUGGUCCUCCCCAUGGAGCUGAUGCUGUGAGGCUGAUGGAGCUGUCAGGAGCCGAUGUUAAUCACUGAAGGCACUUGUGGCUCACUUGUCUCUCAGGCAGAUGGGACCUGCUCAGCUGCCCCAAGCCUGGCUGCAGCUGCCAUGUCCCAUCCUGCAGCAACACCUGCCAACCUCUGAUCUCUUUGAGCAACAGCCUCUGCACAGCCCUGUGCUCCUUCCCUCACGUCCAGGCUGUGGCACCAGGGGUGUUGGUCUCGCUGCCGUGGGUCCUGGCAGUGCUGCAGUGCCGAUGGCACCCACGGGCACCACUGUGAGCCAAGCAGGCACCUACAGAAAACACCUGAAUCCCCAGGGCUGUGAGCAGUCCUGAGGGUAAAUUAAAUUAUCCUUUCCAGAAGCUGUGGUCUUGGCAGACUGAACUGAGAGGAAAGGCAGCCUUCAGAAGGGCCCAGCCAUGGACAUGAAGGGUUAAAUCAUGGUUGACAUCCAUCCUGCUGUGAUUUGUCAGCAUGGACACGUGUAGUCUGUGGAGAAAAACAGGCAGAGUAAUUUCCUGAUUUAAAUGAAUUUCAGAGACCACCACAGGAAGGAACUUGGGAUGUGUCCAAAGGGUAACCAGGCCAUGGAAAAAUACCAGGCAGGGGAAGGGGCCAGGGGAAUCAGAACUUGGAUUUUCCCCUUUGUCACUACAGAGGUGAUAGCCACCAUUGCAUUUUCCAGAUAUGAGUCCAGUUUAAGAAAUUUAAGAUACUUUAAAUGU